CCUACGGGUGGCAGCAGUGAGGAAUAUUGGUCAAUGGGCGCGAGUCUGAACCAGCCAAGUAGCGUGAAGGAUGACUGCCCUACGGGUUGUAAACUUCUUUUAUAAAGGAAUAAAGUGAGGCACGUGUGCCUUUUUGUAUGUAUUUUAUGAAUAAGGAUCGGCUAACUCCGUGCCAGCAGCCGCGGUAAUACGGAGGAUCCGAGCGUUAUCCGGAUUUAUUGGGUUUAAAGGGAGCGUAGGUGGAUUGUUAAGUCAGUUGUGAAAGUUUGCGGCUCAACCGUAAAAUUGCAGUUGAAACUGGCAGUCUUGAGUACAGUAGAGGUUGGCGGAAUUCGUGGUGUAGCGGUGAAAUGCUUAGAUAUCACGAAGAACUCCGAUUGCGAAGGCAGCUCACUGGACUGCAACUGACACUGAUGCUCGAAAGUGUGGGUAUCAAACAGGAUUAGAUACCCGUGUAGUC
rnacentral:rRNA from 1 species